UCGUCGUCGUCGUCGUCGUCGGGUAACGUCGUCGAUACGUCUUACGCCGUGUUCCGUAAUCUACUGACGGUGCUGACAGCACCGUGGCCGUAAAUACGGCUUUUCAUGCCUUCCGAAAUACAUUACUACUGUCUGUGAUGUAUAAUGGAGCGAUUCUUAGUUAGGCACACUUGGCUCGAUUCAGCUCGGCUUCGACUACGUGUGUAGAGUUACGGACAGUUACCGCGGCGGAAAGUUUACGACAAAUAGUUGACGAGAGUUUGGAUUCGGAUGAUGCAUUCUUAACUCCGUUUACUGAAAAUACUUUGCGAGGUCAACGUAUUCCAAGGCUUCGAGCGCAAAAUUAUAUCAAUGAUGCUGCAUUUCGGGUGUCAACGUUUUAGCAGAGAUAUUCGGAAGUCGACAGUUUCUCGAGGGUCGAUUUAUGAAAACUGUUUACGACGGCUCAUUUCAAAGAACAGCAAUACACCCUCUAGUAUAUAGGUCUGCCUAUUUUAGCUAUACCUAUUCUCAAACUUUCCAAAUUUAAUUCCAACGCGGAUUUUUUUCCUUUCGUCCGCGCAAGAAUUUUGACGGAGUCGAAAGACGAUGGUGAACACGUAACAGCGCUGUUUCCUACUUGUACAAAUUAAUUAUCGAAUAACGUUGUGGAAAAAGAACUCAAGUUUCAUCUCGAAUUCUUCGUUGGUACAAAUUAAUCGAGAAUUUGAUCGAGACGAGCGUGUAUUGAAGCUUCUCGAAGGAGGAAGGGAAGCUAAAUACAACAUGUGCGACUAAAACAAGCAGAAGCAGCGUUAUCAGCAGUGUGUCGAAUCGUUGCUUAUUUGGAGGGAUUUCAAUUUUACCAGCAUUUUUUUUUCUGAAACAUCCGUUUAAGCGAUCUCGCAAGUGAUGCGCGAAGGCUACGACAGAUCCAAACGGAAGUGCAGCUUGGCUCGUACUAAACGGAACUGACCCAGCUUCGCGGCUUUCUACCCUUCUCUGAUCUGCCUCACCCUCUUCUCGCUCUCCAUCUCGCUCACCUUCUCUCUCAUCCGUUUUCUCAUCCCUCCUCGCUCCGCUCGCCAACUCCGUCUCGUUUCUUCCUUCUCGACGUUCUCCCCGCUCGACGACGAGGUACCCUCGAGAAGUUUCAAUUUAUACGGAAAGUCGUCAUGAGACCGAAUGCACAAAUACGUACGCCGCUGCUACUAGUCCAUUCAUAUCAGCUGGCAUGAUGUAAACACGGCAAAAUCGUGGCACAGCGAGAUGUAAUUCUACACCGCGAAUCAUCUUCAGCUGAUAUUACAAACGUUAUACGCGACGCGUUUUAAUUGGCUUUCAGUUUUAGAGAGACACGUAGGAUUUUAUAUAAAUUAUUAU